UGCCACUCUUAACGGGGUGGCUUUUCAGAAGUGUAAAAAGCUUCUGGAAUAAGGGCUGGGCAAGACCGGUGCCAGCCGCCGCGGUAACACCGGCAGCUCAAGUGGUAGCCGCUUUUAUUGGGCCUAAAGCGUCCGUAGCCGGUCUGAUAAGUCUCUGGUGAAAUCCCACAGCUUAACUGUGGGAAUUGCUGGAGAUACUAUCAUGACUCGAGGUCGGGAGAGGCUGGAGGUACUCCCAGGGUAGGGGUGAAAUCCUGUAAUCCUGGGAGGACCACCUGUGGCGAAGGCGUCCAGCUGGAACGAACCUGACGGUGGGGGACGAAAGCCAGGGGCGCGAACCGGAUUAGAUACCCGGGUAGUCCUGGCCGUAAACGAUGUGGACUUGGUGUUGAGAUGGCUUCGAGCUGCCCCAGUGCCGAAGGGAAGCUGUUAAGUCCACCGCCUGGGAAGUACGGCCGCA
rnacentral:rRNA from 1 species